GACAGAGGUGCCAAGCGUUAGGCGGAAUCACUGGGCUUAAAGCGUGUGUAGGCGGAUCGUUAAGUACCUUGUGAAAUCCCACGGCUCAACCGUGGAACUGCUGGGUAUACUGGCGAUCUUGAGCCACCUAGGGGCGAGCGGAACAAGCGGUGGAGCGGUGAAAUGCGUAGAUAUCCUGAGGAACACCGGUGGCGAAAGCGGCGCGCUGGACCCCUUCUGACGCUGAGGCGCGAAAGCCAGGGGAGCAAACGGG
rnacentral:rRNA from 1 species